GCCGGUGUGGCUCAGCGGGUAGAGUGUCAGCCUUCGGACUGAAAGGUCCUGGGUUCGAUUCCCAGUCGGGGUA
rnacentral:tRNA from 1 species